AAAAUCAAAAUCAAACAAUUCAAAAGAAAUCAAGAUUUAUUAAUUUAUUUAUUUCAUAAUAAAUAAAUAAAUAAAUUUUGAGAGGGCAUUCGUAGACAUAAAAAAAUAAUAAAAUAAAAUGGAUUGUGUCGAUUUAAAUCAUUAGCCCAAUUAAAUUUAAACCUACUAAAGUCCAUAAAAUCCAAAGGCCCAUACCAAAUUUUAAAUAAAUAAACAAACAAAAUAAAUAAAACCAUAAUUACUCAAUUAUUUCUUUUAAUUAAAUAUAAUUGAGUAAUUACCAAAAUUAGCUCUACUCCUCCCCUAUAAAUAAGACCAAUGGUCCAUAAGACGGGGGACACAGAAAGCAAGUAAGAAAAGAAAGCAGAGAACGCCACGAAGUGCUGAAGAAAUCUCAAGGCUGAAAGAAUGGAAGAAAUUCUGUCAAACCUUAACUCGGUGAAUCCCAAGAAGAUUAAAAUCUUCUUCGAAUCAAACAGGUUCACGCCAAAUCCAAGAAGAUGAAAGUGUUCUUCAAAUUAAAUCAAAUUCAAGUCCAAGUCCAAGCUUCAAGAUUCAAGUUCCAAACAAGUCAAAUCUCGACAAAUCAGAUUUUCAACAAAUUAUUGAAGACCAGGAUUCAAGCGACAUGGCCCUCGUCUUCAAAUAUUUAGAGCAUUAAUCAGAGGAUUUUGCAAUUUUGCAAUUACAAGAAGGUCAACAUCACUUGUAUUUAUCAAAAUACAAUUUGUAACGAUUUCUGUAUUUUAAUACACGAAAUUCCGUCGUACACCCAU
rnacentral:lncRNA from 1 species